GCGACUCUACCUUUACAAAACAUCUACUACAUAAUGAUCUUUUAACCUCAAAAAGUAAACUUUCUGAAUUAGUUAUGUACAAUAAAUGAAAGAGAAAUUGAAAAAUUCGUUAUAAGUGGAUCGACUAACGUGAAAUACCAUUUGUUGAUAAGUUUUAUUUUGGAAAUUUAGGAACGUAUGAAAGACGGUUUGUUCUUGUGUGCGACUUGAUUAGAAAAAUACGCCGCGAUCAAGGAAACGUGCAUUUUAUUGCAGCGAGUCUCUCGGAUAUGCAGAUAAUCUUCGCGCGAGGCUUAUUUGCAAAAUACUUAGUAAGUUUAUAACGGAUAACGUCUGCUUUGUACGUUAUACUGAGCGUAAUCGUUAUAAUUAUUUUAUAGCAAACUUUAUUAUCGAUUUUGAGGUUAUUGGGCUAUAAAAUAUCGUAUGAGACUGUCGAUACUCGCUUCGCUCGUGCGAAAAACCAUCUCCCACAACAGUGUCAUAAUACUAUGUAAUAAUCUUAUCGAUAAUGAUUUAACAUACAAUCUAUAUAGAUAUACUACCAAUAACUUCUGGAAAAACGAGGGCUUUUAUGACUCUGCGAAAAAUUACAGGACCUAGUUGUCGGUACAAUUUUUGCGCCAAAGUGAGCUGGACAGAAUUUAUCAGGGAAAAUUAGAAUACUUAAAAUAUACUUUCCAGAUAUGUCAAAUAUUUUGGGCUAGAUCAGAUCGAUCGUUUAUUGUUUAUUUUGGCCGAGGCUAGAGCUCGAUAGGAAAGCAUACUUUGAAGUAUCUUCUUCUCCAGGAUCCCGUUGACGCACGAUUGUACCGACAAGCAUGUCCUGUAAUUUUUCGAGAGUCAUAAAAGCCCUCGUUUUUCCAGGAGUUGGUGUGGUGGACCCUUAACAUCAAAAUAUCAUCAUCUUUUUUAAUACUUAUACUAUAAUGAAGCAUUUGCAUUAAAUUCUACGUAUAUUGAAAUUUGACUAUUUUAUUUAGGUCAUGAAGUUUUUUGUAUGCGUUACAAAAAUAAAAACGCAUAAUAUGAUGUCUCGUUUGAAAAUAUAUUUUAUUAUUUCAUCGCGUCAUCGAGAUACACUUUUUUAUAUGACUGAAUAAGAAUAAAAGUCAGUUCUUGCACAGAUAGAACGCCCCAACGGCCAAGAACGUCAGCUUGAG